GUGUAUAUACAGGGUGUAUCAAAAAAAACUGAACAGAUUUGAAAUUGCUCUCAAUUUCGCAAAACACCUAUUUGCAUCUGGUUUUUUAUAUAUAUAGCUUCUUUGGGUACUUAUAAUGUAAAAUAAUGAAAAAAAUUUCUCGAACUCAAAUUUUGUGAACCAGGGGGGUGUGUCUUUUCCAACAAACUAAAAAUGGCUCGCGCACAAAAUUUAAAAGCUGCAAUCAUAUUUUGAGUUAACAGAUGGAACAUUUGGCGGGAUUUUAAUUACUGUCCAAAAUUUCAGACAAUUUGGUUUAGUUUAAGCCCCUUAACUAUUCAUUUUGUUCUAAAAAGUCAGCCUUUCGCAUGCUUAAUUAAUGCCUUUACCUAAUUUGCAUAUUGCUGACAUAUGCAAAUUAGGCAAAUGCAUUAAUUAAGCAUGCAAAUAGCUGAUUUUUCGGGAAAAUUGUAACUUUGCGUGAAUAGUUAAGGGGCUUAACCUAAACCAAAUUGUCUGAAAUUUUGUAGAGUAAUUAAAAUCCCAACAAAUUUUCCAUCUGUUAACUCAAAAUAUGAUUGCAGCUUUUAAAUUUUGUGCGCGAGCCAUUUUUAGUUUGUUGGAAAAGACACACCCCCCUGGUUCACAAAAUUUGAGUUUGAGAAAUUUUUCUCAUUAUUCUACAUUAUAAG
rnacentral:lncRNA from 1 species